UACGGGGGGGGGCAAGCGUUGUUCGGAAUUACUGGGCGUAAAGGGCGCGUAGGCGGCCAGCACAAGUCAGUUGUGAAAUCUCCGAGCUUAACUCGGAAAGGUCAACUGAUACUGUGCGGCUAGAGUGCGGAAGGGGCAACUGGAAUUCUUGGUGUAGCGGUGAAAUGCGUAGAUACUGGGAGGAACACCAGUGGCGAAGGCGGCUACCUGGACCGGUUCUGACGCUGAUGCGCGAAAGCGUGGGUAGCGAACAGG
rnacentral:rRNA from 1 species